UGUUGGUGAUGCAAGCAAUCGAUGAGAAGAGACUUGAAUCUUUCCCAUGCAUGAUAGAGAUUUUCACCUGGCUUAUGGUUGAAACUUAGGAUCUUGUUUAUCAACCU
rnacentral:snoRNA from 1 species